GCUUGGGUAGCUCAGUCGGUUAAGUGUCUGACUUUGGCUCAGGUCAUGAUCUCACGGUUUGUGAGUUCGAGCCCCACAUCAGGCC
rnacentral:tRNA from 1 species